UGUUUCACCUUCUUGGCGGCAGUAUAUCGGCAGUCUGGAUGUGACGCGGCCGAGCAGCAGAGUGGAGAUUGUUGCUGCCAUGAGACGGAUCCGGUAUGAGUUUAAGGUGAAAAACAUCAAGAAGAAGAAAGUUCACAUCGUUGUGUCAACAGACGGAGUCAAGGUUACCUUGAGAAAAAAGAAAAAGAAGAAAGAGUGGACCUGGGAUGAGAGCAAGUUGAUUGUAAUGCAGGAUCCAAUUUACAGGUAAGAUUACCUGAGUGUCUGCUAGCAUAACGUUAAAUU